UGCUACCUUGGAAUCUGUAAUGGGGCAACUCACUGAGUGUUAAUCACUCUCAAAAGCCCUAGGGAAAGUCCCCAGACCUGGGGUAGAAAUACCACAACCUAAGUUGUCAGCCCCACCCCCACUACUAAAAUCACUGUGAAGCCCCUGGGGUGGAGUUGUAGAUGGGUGGGGUGUUUGUCACAGCACAGUGAUACAGGUGGUGUAACACUGACACAAUGGGGCUUACAUCAGGGUAGU
rnacentral:RNase_MRP_RNA from 1 species